rnacentral:ncRNA from 2 species
GAAAUUUGAAACCUUCAAGGUGCCCCUUUUUGGGGAGAAUAGGGAAGUCCGGUGAAAGUCCGGCGCGGUCCCGCCACUGUAACGGGAAGCCGCCUUAUAAGAUGCCACUGGGAAACCGGGAAGGCAUAAGGCGGCGAUGAACCGGAGCCAGGAGACCUGCCUUGAAAGGUAGUGUCCG